ACAUUUAAUCACUUCCCACAAGGAGAAGCAGGCUGGGUGUGCUCCAGGCUCCGGAAGCUCCAGCAGCCCCAGAGAUGAGGGUGGUCUGCCCCCCACACUCCCUGCCCCAGCCCAUCCUGGACCUUCUCCUGACACACAGCAAACCACACUUAGCUGUCAUUGAUGAAUCGGAGCCUCUGCCAGACAGCCGGCCAAGCCGACGCUAACUCACCCCACAGCCUGAAAUAGAAACUCGCUCGUUUUCCAGUGUGUGACAAAGAAGGAAGGACAUCAACUGGGAGUGGCCCAGAAGCCCGAAGCUGAGAGGACAAAGCUCACUGGGUCCUCCACAAUCUCUACUUUACCAAAAUCCAUGCGGGUGCAUCAUAA
rnacentral:lncRNA from 1 species